rnacentral:rRNA from 1 species
CCCCUAGAUGUUCUGGGCCGCACGCGCGCUACACUGAUACGUUCAACGAGCUCCCCUUGGUCGAGAGGCCUAGGUAAUCUUUUGAACGCGUAUCGUGAUAGGGAUAGACCUUUGCAAUUAUUGGUCUUGAACGAGGAAUUCCUAGUAAACGCGAGUCAUCAGCUCGCAUUGAUUACGUCCCUGCCCUUUGUACACACCGCCCGUCGCACCUACCGAUUGAACGAUUCGGUGAAAACUCCGGACUGUGGUUGUGCGCCCUUUAUUGGGAGCGCUUCCGUGGAAAGUUGUGUAAACCUCAUCGUUUAGAGGAAGGUGAAGUCGUAACA